AUUGAACGCUGGCGGCAGGCCUAACACAUGCAAGUCGAGCGGAUGAAGGGAGCUUGCUCCUGGAUUCAGCGGCGGACGGGUGAGUAAUGCCUAGGAAUCUGCCUGGUAGUGGGGGAUAACGUCCGGAAACGGGCGCUAAUACCGCAUACGUCCUGAGGGAGAAAGUGGGGGAUCUUCGGACCUCACGCUAUCAGAUGGGCCUAGGUCGGAUUAGCUAGUUGGUGGGGUAAAGGCCUACCAAGGCGACGAUCCGUAACUGGUCUGAGAGGAUGAUCAGUCACACUGGAACUAAGACACGGUCCAGACUCCUACGGGAGGCAGCAGUGGGGAAUAUUGGACAAUGGGCGAAAGCCUGAUCCAGCCAUGCCGCGUGUGUGAAGAAGGUCUUCGGAUUGUAAAGCACUUUAAGUUGGGAGGAAGGGCAGUAAGUUAAUACCUUGCUGUUUUGACGUUACCAACAGAAUAAGCACCGGCUAACUUCGUG
rnacentral:rRNA from 1 species